rnacentral:rRNA from 1 species
CCCUUAGAUGUCCUGGGCUGCACGCGCGCUACACUGAUGUGUCCAGUAAGCACCUAACCUCUUCCGAAAGGAACGGGUAACCUUUGCAAAGCACAUCGGGAUGGGGAUAGAUUAUUGCAAUUAUUAGUCUUGAACGAGGAAUUCCUAGUAAGCACAAGUCAUCAGCUUGUGUUGAUUACGUCCCUGCCCUUUGUACACACCGCCCGUCGCUCCUACCGAUUGAAUGUUCCGGUGAGCUCUUCGGACUGCGCGGUCUGCAGUUUCUGCGUUCCGUGCGGAAAGUUGCGCAAACCUUAACAUUUAGAGGAAGGAGAAGUCGUAACA